CCUACAGGUGUCAGCAGUGAGGAAUAUUGGUCAAUGGGCGAAAGCCUGAUGGAGCAACGCCGCGUGGGUGAAGAAGGUCUUCGGAUCGUAAAACCCUGUUGUUAGAGAAGAAAGUGCGUGAGAGUAACUGUUCACGUUUCGACGGUAUCUAACCAGAAAGCCACGGCUAACUACGUGCCAGCAGCCGCGGUAAUACGUAGGUGGCAAGCGUUAUCCGGAUUUAUUUGGCGUAAAGGGAACGCAGGCGGUCUUUUAAGUCUGAUGUGAAAGCCUUCGGCUUAACCGGAGUAGUGCAUUGGAAACUGGGAGACGUGAGUGCAGAAGAGGAGAGUGGAA
rnacentral:rRNA from 1 species